CGGACGGGUGAGUAACGCGUAGGAAUCUGCCUAGUAGUGGGGGACAACAUGUGGAAACGCAUGCUAAUACCGCAUACGCCCUACGGGGGAAAGGAGGGGAUCUUCGGACCUUUCGCUAUUAGAUGAGCCUGCGUGAGAUUAGCUAGUUGGUGGGGUAAAGGCCUACCAAGGCGACGAUCUCUAGCUGGUCUGAGAGGAUGAUCAGCCACACUGGGACUGAGACACGGCCCAGACUCCUACGGGAGGCAGCAGUGGGGAAUAUUGGACAAUGGGCGCAAGCCUGAUCCAGCCAUGCCGCGUGUGUGAAGAAGGCCUUAGGGUUGUAAAGCACUUUCAGGAGUGAGGAAGGGCGUAUAGUUAAUACCUGUAUGUUUUGACGUUAACUCCAGAAGAAGCACCGGCUAACUCUGUGCCAGCAGCCGCGGUAAUACAGAGGGUGCGAGCGUUAAUCGGAAUUACUGGGCGUAAAGCGCGCGUAGGCGGUUUGUUAAGUCGGAUGUGAAAUCCCAGGGCUCAACCUUGGAAUGGCACCCGAUACUGGCAGGCUAG
rnacentral:rRNA from 1 species